AGGGUUCGAGUUCUGGCUCAGGAUGAACGCUAGCUACAGGCUUAACACAUGCAAGUCGAGGGGCAGCAUGAUCUAGCUUGCUUAGAUUGAUGGCGACCGGCGCACGGGUGAGUAACGCGUAUCCAACCUUCCCUAUAGUAGAGGAUAGCCCGGCGAAAGUCGGAUUAAUACUCUAUGUUUUCCAAUGCAGACAUCUAAAAAUGGAACAAAGGUUUACCGCUAUAGGAUGGGGAUGCGUCUGAUUAGGUUGUUGGCGGGGUAACGGCCCACCAAGCCUACGAUCAGUAGGGGUUCUGAGAGGAAGGUCCCCCACAUUGGAGCUGAGACACGGUCCAAACUCCUACGGGAGGCAGCAGUGAGGAAUAUUGGUCAAUGGGCGAGAGCCUGAACCAGCCAAGUAGCGUGCAGGAUGACGGCCCUGUGGGUUGUAAACUGCUUUUAUAUAGGGAUAAAGUGACCCACGUGUGGGUUUUUGUAGGUACUAUAUGAAUAAGGACCGGCUAAUUCCGUGCCAGCCGCAGC
rnacentral:rRNA from 1 species